GUCCUUUUUCAGUUAAUUACCAUACAUUCUUUACACACACCAAACAGUAAAUAAGGCCAUAAAGCUUCUAUCCUUUUAAGAACAAUUAUGAACACAAUCAGUAUAGAAUAAACUCAGAACAAUUUCUUCUUACUAAUUCAAGGCUACAUUUUCUUCUUACUAAUUCAAAACUAGCAAAAUGGAGUAUAAAGCAAAAUAAGCAAAAUGGAGUACAGUUUUACUUGAGACAAUUUCUUCCCAUUAGGCUUUUGCUUACACAUUAACCAAGCGAACAGAUUGACUAAGGGAACACCCCAUGUUCAGAAGAUGGACUUCAGCAUCCUGUUCUUGAGAAACUACUUGUAGUUGUGGGAGAAUCUUCUGUGGAGGAAAUCAGCCAACUGAUUCUGAAUGUCAGAACGAGUCCCAGAUGACUGAAAAAGCAGAUGAUUAACCUGAUGUGGCCCCAAACCUGAUCCUGUGAAGAAUCUUGUACCAGCCUAUCAUCCAG